rnacentral:lncRNA from 1 species
CAGGGAGGGGGUUGCCACCUGGGUCUCCCCGGGGGAUCACCCAGAGCCCUGCUUGUACUGAUCUCCCCUACUCCCUUACCAGUUGGUUUCUCUAGGAAGAAUUUUCGUAAUAAAUACUUGCCCUAAACCCUCCCCAUCUCAAGGUCUGUUUCUGGGCAACUCAACUGAAAAUGAAAGCAAACCAAGGAAGGAAAAGGGCCCAAGUGAGUGUAGGGGCACGAAAUCAGUGCACGGGGAAAGAAGAGGCUGUGCAGAGACACCGAAGCAAGGCAGACGGCAGCCCGGCGUCCUUAGGAGUCUCCUAGUUCAGACCGUUCCAGCACACCUUGCCUACACAAGACAAGCUGGAGACAUGAGACCUGAACAGGAAUGGUCACAGACCUGUAUAGUGCUGCCACUCCCGCCUCGUGUGCUGGGAAACAGUGUGUGUCCACCGCGGGGAGAGAAGACAUCAGUCCUUCUUCGGCCUGUUUUUACAAGCACUGAAAGACACCCGCCGAUGCGCAGCUGCUGUUCAAUGCUGUCCUACAUAAAGACAAUCAUUUCCUGCACCAGGAAAACAGCAGUGUCUCACCCUUCACUACUGUGCUUCAUGGUCCCCAGAACACCCCACAGGACGGCAGGCUCUGCAUCGCUGGAGGGAGUCGAGAGAUGGUCUAGAAGGAGAAGGUUGACCUCUCUUUGCCUGAGGUGUCAGGUCUCCAAGGUGGAUUCUUGCCUCUCGCUUCCCCCAAUCCAGCACUGAGAACG